AUGGUGUGCCUCGUGUCCCAGGAACAAAGUACUGGGUCUCCAGAACUUCCCAAGCUUCUGUGAGAGGAAAAGUGCCAGCUCCAUGGCACUGCUGUUUUCUCACCUCAUCCUGCCCCUGCAUUUAGACUACAUGGGAUUUGGAGAGGAGGUCAUUCUCUCUGGCACCACCUCCUUGUACCUCUAGAUAUGCAUGAGAUAUAAUUAAAACAACCUUG